rnacentral:rRNA from 1 species
UUAGAGUUUGAUCCUGGCUCAAGAUGACCUUUGGCGGCGUGCUUAACACAUGCAAGUCGAACGGGAAUUAUUUUAUUGAAACUUCGGUCGAUUUAAUUUAAUUCUAGUGGCGGACGGGUGAGUAACGCGUGGGUAACCUGCCUUAUACAGGGGGAUAACAGUCAGAAAUGGCUGCUAAUACCGCAUAAGCGCACAGAGCUGCAUGGCUCAGUGUGAAAAACUCCGGUGGUAUAAGAUGGACCCGCGUUGGAUUAGCUAGUUGGUGGGGUAACGGCCCACCAAGGCGACGAUCCAUAGCCGGCCUGAGAGGGUGAACGGCCACAUUGGGACUGAGACACGGCCCACACUCCUACGGGAGGCAGCAGUGGGGAAUAUUGCACAAUGGGGGAAACCCUGAUGCACCGACGCCGCGUGAAAGAAGAAGUAUCUCGGUAUGUAAACUUCUAUCAGCAGGGAAGAUAGUGACGGUACCUGACUAAGAAGCCCCGGCUAACUACGUGCCAGCAGCCGCGGUAAUACGUAGGGGGCAAGCGUUAUCCGGAUUUACUGGGUGUAAAGGGAGCGUAGACGGUGUGGCAAGUCUGAUGUGAAAGGCAUGGGCUCAACCUGUGGACUGCAUUGGAAACUGUCAUACUUGAGUGCCGGAGGGGUAAGCGGAAUUCCUAGUGUAGCGGUGAAAUGCAUAUAUAUAAAGAGGAACACCAGUGGGCGAGGGCGGCUUACUGGACGGUAACUGACGUUGAGGCUCGAAAGCGGGGGGGACCAAACAAGAAUUAAAAUACCCUGGUAGUCCCCCGCCGUAAACGAUGAAUACUAGGUGUCGGGUGGCAAAGCCAUUCGGUGCCGUCGCAAACGCAGUAAGUAUUCCACCUGGGGAGUACGUUCGCAAGAAUGAAACUCAAAGGAAUUGACGGGGACCCGCACAAGCGGUGGAGCAUGUAGUUUAAUUCGAAGCAACGCGAAGAACCUUACCAAAUCUUGACAUCCCUCUGACCGGUCUUUAAUCGGACCUUCUCUUCGGAGCAGAGGUGACAGGUGGUGCAUGGUUGUCGUCAGCUCGUGUCGUGAGAUGUUGGGUUAAGUCCCGCAACGAGCGCAACCCCUAUCCUCAGUAGCCAGCAUUUAAGGUGGGCACUCUGGGGAGACUGCCAGGGAUAACCUGGAGGAAGGCGGGGAUGACGUCAAAUCAUCAUGCCCCUUAUGAUUUGGGCUACACACGUGCUACAAUGGCGUAAACAAAGGGAAGCGAGAUCGUGAGAUGGAGCAAAUCCCAAAAAUAACGUCCCAGUUCGGACUGUAGUCUGCAACCCGACUACACGAAGCUGGAAUCGCUAGUAAUCGCGGAUCAGAAUGCCGCGGUGAAUACGUUCCCGGGUCUUGCAC